rnacentral:rRNA from 1 species
ACCAGCGGGCAGCGGGUUGGUGCAACCAGUUUCCGAUGGAUCACUGAAGUUAAGCAACGUGGCGUCUUGUUAGUAUCAGGAUGGGUGACCAUCUGAUGGACUAUCACUGGAA